UCAACUGUGUUCAUUGUAGAGGCAUCAGUUGAGCCGAGUUGAGUGCAGCUGUCUAUAGAGCGCGAGGACUGACUUUGAAAAAGAAAUGAAGGUUUUAUUCAUUAUUAUCGCUGCUGCUGCCUUGCUGGUGGUCGAUGUUUCAGGCCAAUCGUUUUCCAAACCAAGUUUAUUCCGUUCCAAGCAGCAGGAAUCGGACUCGGAGUUGCCAUUCAGAUCUUCUCAGCGCGACUACCGUGAACCCAUCUACAGGUACAAUAAUGCCUUCCGUCCCUUGGAAGAAAUACCGACACCUAGGCCGCAUUUUAUGUUCUUUGUUAAAAGGAUGAGGAAAAUGCUUCUUGUGUAAAUAGCAUCAUUAGUUAUUUGUGUUUGUGUAGGUAAAUUGUUUUUUUCUUCAACAAUUUUUUUGAGUUGAUGUGUACUGGGGUUGAUUCCGGGUGCAAUAUUCACGAAAAUGAGCUUAAAGAUGCACUAGAGAUUGUAUCGAAAUCAUCAUAUAGUCAAUAAAAAGUAGUGUCAAAAGUCUUA